UAAUCCCACAAGGGGAGCCUAAAUCGGCUGAGAGUGAACGUAUGAGUUCUGACCCUAUGAACCUGUUAGAUAAUGCUAGCGCAGGGACUGUGGUUUGAUGGAAUA
rnacentral:ncRNA from 2 species